GACGAACCGUGCGAACGUUGUUCGGAAUCACUGGGCUUAAAGGGCGCGUAGGCGGUCACGCACGUCCGGGGUGAAAUCUUUCGGCUUAACCGGAAAAGGGCCCUGGAUACGGCGUGACUGGAGGGGGAGAGGGGCGGACGGAACUUCCGGUGGAGCGGUGAAAUGCGUAGAUAUCGUUUGGAACGCCAAUGGUGAAAACAGGUCGCUGGGGAUGAGCUGACGCUGAGACACGAAAGCCAGGGGAGCAAACGGG
rnacentral:rRNA from 1 species